GGGAAUGUAUUUUGUGUCAUCAGUUUUGUUAAUUAGAAUGAAUAUGCCAAUAGAAUAUAGGUAAGAAUUUCUGUUAAAAAAAAAAUCAGAAAAUGAAAGUAAAAAAAUGAUUCAAGUUAUAAAAAAAGGAUUUAACAUCUGACAGUUGAAGAGCAUAAAGACAUUGAACUUUUUUUUGUUGCCAAUUUACUACUUAAUUCGUUGGUACACUAUAAGAGUUAUUCAAGUUGCUUAAGAUAUUUUCACCACCUUAUAACAUUUAAAGCAUUGUUAAGCAUCAUUAUAUUUCGUUAUUUUACCUAUAGAUGGCAAUUUGUUGUUUCUUUACUCUAUAUGUACAUGCUUAAAGUUUGAAAUUAAGGACUACAGGUAAAAAUAAUUGCUAUUUUAAAUUUAAUUUCAGAACAAUUAUAACAGAGGUAUUAGGAGAUUUACAGUUUAAUUUUUAUCACCGAUGGUUUGAUGUGAUAUUCCUGGUCAGUGCCUUGUCCAGUAUUGGAUUUCUAUAUAUAGCACAUAAACAAUCUCCGGAGAAGAACAUGAUAUAAUGAGAAUCAACAGACAAUAUUUAUUUUUAUUUUAGAUUUAUUAUGUACUUUUGUUUAAAAGUUAAUUGUUGAUGAAUAUAUAAAAAAACAUGUAACAAAAUUUGUUCAGAUAUUUUAUUCUAACAUCUAAAUACAUUGCACAAGAUGUUAAUUGAGGGUACCUGCAGUUG
rnacentral:lncRNA from 1 species